rnacentral:rRNA from 1 species
UACGGGGGGGGCAAGCGUUGUUCGGAAUUACUGGGCGUAAAGGGUUCGUAGGUGGCCAACUCAGUUCAGACGUGAAAUCCCCUCAGCUCAACUGGGGAACUGCGUCUGAUACUAGAUGGCUCGAGUGCAGGAGAGGACGCGGAAUUCCAGGUGUAGCGGUGAAAUGCGUAGAUAUCUGGGAGGAACACCGGUGGCGAAGGCGG